UGCCAGCAGCCGCGGUAAUACGGAGGGGGGUAGCGUUGUUCGGAAUUACUGGGCGUAAAGCGCACGUAGGCGGACUGGAAAGUAUGGGGUGAAAUCCCAGGGCUCAACCCUGGAACUGCCUCAUAAACUAUCAGUCUAGAGUUCGAGAGAGGUGAGUGGAAUUCCGAGUGUAGAGGUGGAAUUCGUAGAUAUUCGGAGGAACACCAGUGGCGAAGGCGGCUUUCUGGACCGAUACUGACGCUGAGACGCGAAAGCGUGGGGAGCAAACAGGAUUAGAUA
rnacentral:rRNA from 1 species